rnacentral:rRNA from 1 species
AUUGAACGCUGGCGGCAUGCCUUACACAUGCAAGUCGAACGGUAACAGGUUAAGCUGACGAGUGGCGAACGGGUGAGUAAUGUAUCGGAACGUGCCCAGUCGUGGGGGAUAACGCAGCGAAAGCUGUGCUAAUACCGCAUACGAUCUACGGAUGAAAGCGGGGGAUCGCAAGACCUCGCGCGAUUGGAGCGGCCGAUAUCAGAUUAGCUAGUUGGUGAGGUAAAGGCUCACCAAGGCAACGAUCUGUAGCUGGUCUGAGAGGACGACCAGCCACACUGGAACUGAGACACGGUCCAGACUCCUACGGGAGGCAGCAGUGGGGAAUUUUGGACAAUGGGCGCAAGCCUGAUCCAGCAAUGCCGCGUGCAGGAUGAAGGCCUUCGGGUUGUAAACUGCUUUUGUACGGAGCGAAACGGCUUACUCUAAUACAGUGAGCUAAUGACGGUACCGUAAGAAUAAGCACCGGCUAACUACGUGCCAGCCGCCGCCGUAA